rnacentral:rRNA from 1 species
AUACGUAGGGGGCGAGCGUUGUCCGGAGUUACUGGGCGUAAAGGGCGCGCAGGCGGCCAUUCAAAUCAUGGGUGAAAUACCGGGGCUUAACCUCGGGGGUGCCUGUGAAACUGGGUGGCUUGAGGGCCGGAGAGGACAGUGGAAUUCCCGGUGUAGCGGUGAUAUGCGUAGAGAUCGGGAGGAACACCAGUGGCGAAGGCGACUGUCUGGACGGUACCUGACGCUCAGGCGCGAAAGCCCGGGGAGCAAACGGGAUUAGAUACCCCGAUAGUCCGGGCCGUAAACGAUGAGUGCUAGGUGUGGCGGGUAUCGACCCCCGCCGUGCCGGAGUUAACGCAAUAAGCACUCCGCCUGGGGAGUACGGCCGCAAGGCUGAA